rnacentral:rRNA from 1 species
CUACGGGAGGCAGCAGUGAGGAAUAUUGGUCAAUGGCCGAGAGGCUGAACCAGCCAUCCCGCGUGCAGGAUGACGGCCCUAUGGGUUGUAAACUGCUUUUCUACGCCAAGAAAUCUGAUUACGAGUUAUUAGUUGACGGUAGCGUAGGGAUAAGCAUCGGCUAACUCCGUGCCAGCAGCCGCGGUAAUACGGAGGAUGCAAGCGUUAUCCGGAUUCAUUGGGUGAAAGGGUGCGCAGGCGGGCUUGUAAGUCAGUGGUGAAAUACUGCCGCUUAACGGUAGAACUGCCAUUGAUCCUGCAAGUCUUGAAUAUGGUUGAGGUAGGCGGAAUGUGUUGUGUAGCGGUGAAAUGCAUAGAUAUGACACAGAACGCCGAUUGCGAAGGCAGCUUACUAAGCCAUUAUUGACGCUGAGGCACGAAAGCGUGGGGAGCGAACAGGAUUAGAUACCCGCGUAGUC